rnacentral:rRNA from 1 species
AACGAACGCUGGCGGCAUGCCUAACACAUGCAAGUCGAACGAGACCUUCGGGUCUAGUGGCGCACGGGUGCGUAACGCGUUGGAACCUGCCCUUAGGUUCGGAAUAACUCCCCUAAAGGGGUGCUAAUACCGGAUAAUGUCUUCGGACCAAAGAUUUAUCGCCUUUGGAUGGGCCCGCGUUGGAUUAGCUAGUUGGUAGGGUAAAAGCCUACCAAGGCGACGAUCCAUAGCUGGUCUGAGAGGAUGAUCAGCCACACUGGGACUGAGACACGGCCCAGACUCCUACGGGAGGCAGCAGUGGGGAAUAUUGGACAAUGGGCGAAAGCCUGAUCAAGCAAUGCCGCGUGAGUGAUGAAGGCCUUAGGGUUGUAAAGCUCUUUUACCCGGGAUGAUAAUGACAGUACCGGGAGAAUAAGCUCCGGCUAACUACGUG